CCUACGGGUGGCAGCAGUGAGGAAUAUUGGUCAAUGGACGAGAGUCUGAACCAGCCAAGUCGCGUGAAGGAUGACUGCCCUAUGGGUUGUAAACUUCUUUUAUAUGGGAAUAAAAUGUUCCACGUGUGGGAUUUUGUAUGUACCAUAUGAAUAAGGAUCGGAUCACCCGGUGCCAGCAGCCGAGGUACUACGGAGGAUCCGAGCGUUAUCCGGAUUUAUAGGGCUUAACGGGAGCGUAGGUGGAUUGUUAAGUCAGUUGUGAAAGUUUGCGGCUCAACCGGAAAAUUGCAGUUGAAACUGGCAGGCUUGAGUACAGUAGAGGUGGGUGGAAUUCGUGGUGUAGCGGUGAAAUGCUUAGAUAUCACGAAGAACUCCGAUUGCGAAGGCAGCUCACUGGACUGCAACUGACACUGAGGCGCGAAAGUGUGGGUAUCAAACAGGAUUAGAUACCCGGGUAGUC
rnacentral:rRNA from 1 species